UCAUCAGAGGCCAUAAACUAUGCAUAUAUAAAAUGGUAUCUGUGAAAUUCUAGUUUGAUGUAUCAAGUACUUUCCGAGAUAAAUGGUUUUAAAAAUUGUCCAUUGACGCACUUUUAAUGCAUUUUUGAGGUUGUGUUCGAGCGCCAGUAUCUCAGGAAUGAUUGAAAAGCCUGAAAUCUUCACUUUUAUUUCUCAUCAUGGCAUUGAUUCAGAAUCUGCGAUACUGGAACAAGUCGAUCAAAUUGUGUCUGAUUAGGGGUGAGUUAAAAUUUGAAAAAAUGGAGCUGUAAUGAAAAGUCCCAUUUUUCAGAGAAGUCAGCUAGUGGCAUUUCCUGAACCAUAUGUAGCUGCAUGUCACAAGAAUGCAAAAGAAAGCAUAUAAAAUAGUUUAUGAUCCAACCCGCCUAAAGAAGGGUUAAAUAACCAUUUUUAUUCAUUUCUGAUCAUUAGUUAUUUCCACAAUACAUUUAUGAGUACUGUGGGUUGUAUUUUGAAGACCGGAACUUUAUUUUGGAUGCGACAGGAAGUGGUGCGCUAAAACAUUCAUAGCUUAACAUCGCUAAUGACGCUGCCGUGAGAGUUGAUAACGAGAGAAAAAGGUGCCUGGAAAAUGUGAAGCUCCAGUCCUGGUGUCCAACGAGGCUGACCAGUGAUCCAGUUGAUGGCGAGCCUCCCAGUGGAACUUUGAGCCUCCACCACACCAUCCAGUGGAUUCUGUGGUAGGAUUGUCUCAGUCCCACUGACUGACACCAACAAGAGUCUACUUGGAUACUUUUCCUUGACUUUGACUACUCCCUUGACUUAUUGACUUGAACUUUGAUUGGAUCCACAACGAACCGGUUCCCCAGGAAUACUUCAAAUGGACCUUAAUGUUUUUUUUCUCAGUUUAUUGGGCCGUAGGCAUUGUACUGUAAUUAUGUUGUGCACUGUUUAGUUUUCUAAAACUAAAAGUUCACAGUAGCAACAUAUACCUGUGUCCAGUGGUUAUUGCUCCUAGCUCCUACCAACCGAGAUAGCGACUUGUACAUACUCAGAAGUGGGUUACAAUGAUAUGAAAUUAUUGGUCACAAAUUGGGGAAUAAAAGCUGUUUUUAUUGAACUUUCAUAAAUGACUGCAGGUAUGACAAGUUGUAUGACAAAAACAAAGAAGCCUAAUACAAGAAAAAUAGAGUUCUGGACUUUUAAAGUGGUUGAAACUGGAUUGAUAGGCAAUUUAUUUAAAAAAAAUAAAUAUCCAAGAAAGUACUUGAUUUAAUAGCACUAAAGUUUUCCAUAUGCCAUUUUAAAUAUCCAUACUUUAUAAAUAAAAAAAAUUCAAGCAAAUUAUGUAGUUGGGCAGAAAGCUUUAUAAAAAUUAGAUUUUUUAAGAUGCAGUUACCCUAUGUAUUCUUUUUUACAUGAUAGGGACACAGUUUUGAAACAUUUCUGCAAAGAUUCUUGCUAAUCUAAUGUCUAUGUGUUAUCUCUAUUCUUUCCAGUGUUUCAGUUGUUUAGGUUUUCCUGCUUUUUUACUUGUUUCUCACUAUCAGACCAGUGUUAAAUUCAUUCCAGUGCUGUUGGUGUCUGUAAUUUAAACAAACGAUAGCUGCUAUAAAAGUGAAAAUAAACCAAGGUUGCUGGACAGAGGCCUGAUUUAACAGGCAACAUCUGCCUCCUAUGUGUUUCUCCUGACACCAUCUCUGGUGCACACAUACACCAAACAACAAAACAAAAGAUUUUGUUGUUUGGUGUGUCUUUCUGUCUUGAGCGAAUUAAGAGCAUGUGUUGUGUGUUUUGUUAAUUGUGCAGUUGGAUUUGGAGCGGUGCAGCUUGCAAAAGGCUUGUUGCAGCCUGUAUGCAGGCUGAUACCCUCAAAGAACAGCUUGCACUAACAGGAAAUACCUCUUCUCCCAGAUGCCAGUCCUUUUUUAUUAGAUCUGGGGAUAUGCCCCUGAUUUGAUGGUGACUAUUAGUUUCUCUGUUUAGCUUCUUUCCAAGAGCCAUCACCACCCUGAACUCUCACAUGUCUCACGUCCCACAUCCAGCCAACAAUAGAAUGUGAAAUGUGCAAUAUACACCACUACCUCAUUCACUUUGCUAUUUAUAUUUAUAUUCACAGUUAUUUAUAUGUAUAUUUGUAAAUAGACAGUUUUGCACUAUUUUUUAAGAUUUCUGCACUGAAAAGGAGAAGCUUUCCAAUUUUGUUAUACACUGUAUAAUGACAAUAAAGCAUAUUCUAUUCUA